rnacentral:rRNA from 1 species
GGGGCAAUGGAUUGCCUCAGUAGCGGCGAGUGAGCGGCAAGAGCUCAGAUUUGAAAUCGUGCUUUGCGGCACGAGUUGUAGAUUGCAGGUUGGAGUCUGUGUGGAAGGCGGUGUCCAAGUCCCUUGGAACAGGGCGCCCAGGAGGGUGAGAGCCCCGUGGGAUGCCGGCGGAAGCAGUGAGGCCCUUCUGACGAGUCGAGUUGUUUGGGAAU